UACGUAGGGUGCGAGCGUUGUCCGGAAUUAUUGGGCGUAAAGGGCUCGUAGGCGGUCUGUCGCGUCGAAAGUGAAAACCCAGGGCUUAACCCUGGGCCUGCUUCCGAUACGGGCAGACUAGAGGUAUGCAGGGGAGAACGGAAUUCCUGGUGUAGCGGUGAAAUGCGCAGAUAUCAGGAGGAACACCGGUGGCGAAGGCGGUUCUCUGGGCAUUACCUGACGCUGAGGAGCGAAAGCUAGGGGAGCAAACAGG
rnacentral:rRNA from 1 species